GGGCUUAUUCCAGCAGCCCUCAUAAUGAAAUUGGAACAAUAUGGAGAAGGUUAACAUGGCCAAGGAUAAGAAGAAAAUUCUUGAAUGACCAUAACAAUGAUU
rnacentral:snRNA from 1 species